UUAUAGUUUAUUUUUUUAUUUAUGUGUUUAUUUUUUUUAGUUAAAAUUAAAUAAUUAAUAUUUUUUUCCUGCUAAGUUUUUAAGUUAAAAUUUUGGAAUAAUUAUUUAGUACCUUUUGUAUCAGGGUUAAUUAAUUAAUUAAUUUACCUUUAUUUUCCCGAAUUUAGGAGAUUUAAUUUAAAGUUGAUUUAUUGUUUCAUAAAUAUACAUAAUUUUAUUUUAGUAAUUAUAAGUUAUUCGUUCCUUUAUUUAUCUGGUUAUUUAAGAUUUAAUUUAAUUUUAAUUAUUUUUUAUAAUUAAUUUAAUAGGGGAUAAUCUCUAUUUUUUGAUAAAAUUUUAUAUUUUAAUUCUUUAUUAAUUAUUGUAUUAUAUAUUUAGUUUUUAAUAAAUUUAGGUUUUUAAUUAUGAUUUUUUUAUAUUUAUUUUUUUAUUAAGUUAAUUUAUUAAAUUUUUUUUUAUUUUUAAUAAUGAUUUUAUAAGUAUAAUUUUAAAUUGAUUUUAUAUGAAUUCGACAAUUUUAAUUUAUAACUGUUUAUCAAAAACAUUUCUUUUAGUUAGUUAUUAAAAGUAGUUUCUGCUCAAUGAUUAAUUUUAAAUAGCUGCAGUAUUCUGACUGUACAAAGGUAGCAUAAUAAUUAGUUUUUUAAUUGAAAACUGGAAUGAAUGAAUUAAUAAUAAAUUAGUUUUAUUAAUUUUAUUUUUAGAACUUUAUUUUUUUGUUAAAAAGCUUAAUUGUUUUAUUGGGACGAUAAGACCCUAAAGAACUUUACUUAUUAUUUUAUAUAUUUGUUUAGAUUUUAUAAUUUUAUUUAUUUUAAAUAAGUUUUGUUGGGGAGACAGUUAAAUUAAACUUUAAUUUUUUAUUUCAAUUAAUUUUUGAUUUAUAAGAUCCAUAUAUUUAUGAUUUUAAGAUUAAGUUACCUUAGGGAUAACAGCGUAAUUAUUAUGGAGAGUUCAUAUUUAUAUAAUAGUUUGCGACCUCGAUGUUGAAUUAAGAUUAAUAUAAGGGGUAGGUUCUUUGUUUAUAAGUCUGUUCGACUUUUAAUAUCUUACAUGAUUUGAGUUCAAACCGGUGUAAGCCAGGUUGGUUUCUAUCUUAUAAUAAUUAUGUUUAUUUAGUACGAAAGGACCAUUAAGCACAAUUUAUAUUGUUUAAUUUUGAUUUAUAUUA
rnacentral:rRNA from 1 species